UCUUCAGUCCCUGCCAGUGUGGCUGCUAUUUCACAGGUGCCUGUAAAGUAGCAGCCACACUGGCAGGGACUGAAGA